GAUGAACGCUAGCUACAGGCUUAACACAUGCAAGUCGAGGGGCAGCAUUACGGUAGCUUGCUACUGUAGAUGGCGACCGGCGCACGGGUGAGUAACGCGUAUCCAACCUGCCCAUGACUUGGGGAUAACCUUGCGAAAGCAAGCCUAAUACCCGAUACGCUUCAUAGACGGCAUCUGAAAUGAAGUAAAGGUUUACGGUUAUGGAUGGGGAUGCGUCCGAUUAGCUUGUUGGCGGGGUAACGGCCCACCAAGGCAUCGAUCGGUAGGGGUUCUGAGAGGAAGGUCCCCCCACAUUGGAACUGAGACACGGUCCAAAACUCCUACGGGAGGCAGCAGUGAGGAAUAUUGGUCAAUGGGCAGAGCCUGAACCAGCCAAGUAGCGUGCAGGAUGACGGCCCUAUGGGUUGUAAACUGCUUUUAUAAGGGAAUAAAGUGAGUCUCGUGAGACUUUUUGCAUGUACCUUAUG
rnacentral:rRNA from 1 species